CCGAGGGGCAGCCCAGGGCUCCGGCCCCGCGGGGCGCAGGAGGGGCCGCGGCCAUACCUUGGAAGCGCAGAGGAGCGGGGGAGCGUCCGGGAGGCAGCAGGUGGAGGCGAAGGCCGCUCGCUGCUCCAGGAGCUGCUCCAGUCCUCGGCCAGCGAGUCACAGCACUGCGAAGACACCUCAGCAGCGUCUUGGGCCAGCGGGAGAAGGUCCUCGAAGGAAGCACUGGGAGCCUUCUGAGCCAGCGAGGCCAGGAUCUGCAGAGGGAGAGAGGAGCCCUCUCCCAGCCCGGCCCCUGUUCCAGGAUGGAGAGGCCAUUUCCCCCUGUACCUGAAGCUGACUUUGUCCUUCCCGUAUGCUGAGAAGCGCGAGCAAAUCCGGUUUGAUGUCAGGGAAGCAGGGAGUGGGUGCAGGGGAGAUGCAGCAGGUGGAGACCAUGGAGAGGAAGGUCGUGGUGGAAGCCAGGAGCACAGGCAGGGGAGCCUGGCUGUAGCUGCUGGAGUACUCAUAAAGAAACCUGCGGCAGAGAAGGUACCCCCUCAGGCUGGCAGCUCACGGCACUGGCUGGUGCCAUCACCCACCCGGGCUCGGUGGGAGACUAUCCCCUCACCUAUCCGCGAAUUCCCUGGGGUCCUCCCGGAAGGCCUGGCAGAGCUCCUUGUCGGAGGGC